UAUUUUUUCACAGAAGUAAAUUUCUUCAGAUUUCUGGCAAUUUGCUUUGCUGUUUUGACCCUGAGGAAAACCAUCCAUGAGUUAUCAGAUGGGCCCAGUGAAUGGAUUUUUCUCUCCAAUGGCAGCAUCGUCAGCCCAGACUGGCAAAUAUCCUUGUGGGAGAGGUUUAUCGGCCCGCACUCAGGUACGUACUCAAUCAUGCCAAAGGCCAGUUGUUAUUUGGCUUGUGAGGGCGAUGAAGUCUCUGUCUCAAUUGAAAUCUCGCCACCCAACCGUUCGUUUUGGUUGAAAUUUGUAUGUUUUCAUAAUGCUUGUGGGUGUGACGUAUCGAGAGACCAUAAUGCAUUGAUCCAGUUACAGCGGUGUUAAUAAGAAGUAGUAGAUCUGCACUGUUUCAAAAAUAAGUAUAACCAAAAAGGUCACUUCAUUCGAGAAUUAUUAAUUAUAAUAUAUUACAUAAAAUUGCCUGCGGUCAUACUUCGAUAUUUUGUACAGUUAACUUCUUGAGUAAAAAAACCAUCCAAAUUUCUCCUUAUUUUAUUUAUUUGUGAUUCUGCUCUUCUCGUGAUCGGUUUUGUGAUGAGACUUAAACUCGCAUUAGAUGUGCGUUCCUUUGAUACAGACCUGCAACUUUACGACACAAGUCAACUAGCACACAGGCUAAAGUGGUAGAAGUAAACAAACAAAUUUUGGUCAUUAACAUUUUUUAGCGUAAAUUGCUGUUUGUGUAAACUCUAAAAUCGAGAUAUUUU